GUAGCCAUUUUGGUCCCACCUAAAACAGGCAAGCCGCUUCACUUUGGCCGCAGGAGAUGGGAGAAGCCGAGUCCACGGCGAGCGUUUCGGUCAAGCGGACCUUCUAAAUCCGUCUGCCAACACUCGCCAUUACCCACUGGAGGCCAUGUUGUUUUUUUAAGGCGACUCGUUUUUUUGGGGGGGAUGAGAAAGGACGGUGGUGAUUUUUGGAAGUGACGACCGACAGCGCCUUCACGUUAGUUUAGUUAGCUUCACUGACUGCAACCCGAACGGACAAACGGACUUCGGUUUGCCUGUCGAGUUGAACAAAGGUUACAGGAGGAACAUGUUACAUGCGCUGGUUAAACUCUAAAAUACAAGUUAACUAAUUGUUUUAUUAUUUUUUUUAAUAAUUUUUAUUUGAACGUUCCGGAAUAUCUCAGGUGCCUGGCUCUUUACACGUCCGGUCUGGGCUGAAUAUUGUCACGAUCCAUGCUGAGCCUGUUUUUCCACACAGAGCUGCAAAGCAACACAAAAACAGCCACAUUUGCUGGCAUUUGGAUUUAAAACGGGGGAUUUUUUUUCCACCUCAGACGGCUCCAGGUGGAGGAAGAGCGAAUAAAUGAUGUCAACAAAAACUCCUCUACCGACGGUCAACGAGAAGGUGACGGAAAGUCACACGUCUCACAGCAAUGGGCGCCAGGAGCUCAGCACACGCUCGGGUCGGACCGGCAUGCGAUCCCGCAGCUCAGAUGAGUCGCAGCAGCCCCACGUCGGCAACUACCGGCUGCUCAAGACCAUCGGCAAAGGCAACUUCGCCAAAGUCAAACUGGCCCGGCACAUCCUCACCGGCAGAGAGGUGGCAAUUAAGAUAAUAGACAAGACGCAGCUGAAUCCAAACAGCCUUCAGAAGCUUUUCAGGGAAGUCAGAAUAAUGAAGAUCUUAAAUCAUCCCAAUAUCGUCAAGCUGUUUGAGGUGAUUGAGACCGAGAGGACGCUGUAUCUUGUGAUGGAGUACGCCAGUGGAGGUGAGGUGUUCGACUACCUGGUUGCACAUGGAAGAAUGAAGGAAAAAGAGGCCAGAUCUAAAUUUAGACAGAUUGUAUCAGCCGUGCAGUACUGCCACCAGAAGCACAUUGUUCACAGAGACCUCAAGGCAGAGAACCUGCUGCUGGAUGCAGACAUGAACAUAAAGAUUGCCGAUUUUGGCUUCAGCAACGAGUUCACUAUGGGCAACAAGCUGGAUACUUUCUGCGGCUCGCCACCAUAUGCAGCGCCGGAGCUUUUCCAGGGAAAGAAGUACGAUGGGCCGGAGGUGGACGUCUGGAGUCUGGGGGUCAUCCUGUACACGUUGGUCAGUGGCUCCCUGCCCUUUGAUGGACAGAACCUCAAGGAGUUGCGUGAACGUGUCCUGAGAGGAAAGUAUCGCAUUCCUUUCUACAUGUCCACGGACUGCGAGAACCUCCUGAAACGCUUCCUGGUCCUCAACCCGGCCAAGCGUGGUACUCUCGAGGUGAGGGAGGCUGCCGAAAAUCAAAUCAUGAAGGAUCGAUGGAUCAAUGCGGGAUUCGAAGAGGACGAGCUGAAGCCUUACACUGAACCCGAACUGGACAUCACGGAUCAGAAGAGAAUAGAUGUGAUGGUGGGGAUGGGCUACAACCUGGAGGAGAUCCAGGAAUCUCUGGCUAAGAUGAAGUACGAUGAGAUCACAGCCACCUACUUAUUGCUGGGCAGGAAAGCCUCCGAGCUGGAGCCCAGUGACUCCGCGUCCAGCAGCAAUCUGUCUUUAGCCAAACCGAGACCAAACAGUGAGCUCAAUGGGCAGUCACCAUCCCACCUCAAGGUGCAGAGGAGCGUCUCCUCCAACCACAAACAAAGGCGUUACAGUGAACAAGCCGGUCAGAACGUACCUCCAGGGAUGGCCCAUCCCAAGAGAAGCCAGACCACUACAGCGGACAACAGCGUGAAGGACGAAAGCGGAGCUUCGAUCCGGAAACCCAGCACCCCCGGCAGCCGAGGCGCUCCGCCUUCCAGCCCUCUACUGGGCAACGCCAACAACCCCAACAAGGCUGACAUCCCGGAUCGAAAGAAGGGAGCCACCACCGGUCCAAGCAAUAACUCUGCUUCGGCAGGCAUGACCAGGAGGAACACGUAUGUCUGCAGCGACAGAAACAACGCGGACCGCCUCGCUGUCAUCCCCAACGGGAAGGAGAACAGUGUUGCCGUAUCCCCCGGUGGCCAGAGGAAUCCGGUGGCGUCAACUCACAGCAUCACCAACGCGACCACACCCGAGCGGCUGCGCUUCCCCCGGGGCACGGCCAGCCGCAGCACCUUCCACGGCGGCCAGCUGAGAGACCGCCGCACGGCCACGUACAACGGGCCGCCCGCUUCCCCCACCCUCUCCAACGACGCCACCCCUCUGUCCCAAACCCGCAGCCGCGGAACAAGCAACCUGUUCUCUAAGCUCACAUCCAAACUGACCCGCAGAUUGUCGAGCAGAAGAUAUAGAGAGUUGUAGGAAGAUGAAGAUCUAGAGUAAGGGCUGUUUCACUCUCUCAAUUUGUCCCUGAGGAAAUAUCUUAAAAAAAAAAAAAAAACGUCUGGUUUUACAACUUUGCUCCUCUUCAUUUGGUGUUGUUGUUUUUUUUCUGCGCCUCUUUGGCUGGCCCGGAACCUUCUGUCAGUCCCGUCUGUCCUCUUGUCCUCUUUUAGAUGUUAAAAGCUCAGAGUCUCCCGGUCCUUGUUUGUUUCCUCCUCGCUGUAGUGCAUGAUGGGAGCCUGUCCAACUCACCCGUCCUGUCAGAGGAUGAAAACUAAAAGUCUGUAGAAGUUCUUUAGACAUGCCCAGAUCUGUGAUUUGCAUCCCUUUUCUGAUCUCGGGCUUUCGUCGAGCUCCAACCCCUUGGUGCUGAUUUGAGGCGGUUCUGAUUAGUCUUUGAGAACGGAGAACAGCGGCUGGAUGUCGGCUGGUUUCAUCUUCGUUAAUGACUCAUGUUGGGAGGAGAUGCGACGUCACACUGCGAUGGGAGAGUCGCUGGCAAGUUGGAUUUUUAACUCUCCAGCAUAUGGAAGCGCAGUUAGCUCGUCUAACUGAGGGGUCUCUGUGGCUGUUGUUAGAAAAGGGGAAUUCUUCCUUUAGCGCUGAUUCACACAAGGCUGGCAAAUAUUUCUGAAUCCAGGGUGCUCCAUGGCAAACGGCUCAAAACCUUAAAACAGUAACUUUGCUGCCAGCAUUCAGCCUUCCUGUUACCUCCUGAAGUCAGGCCAGGAUCAGACGGCCGCUCCGCCGCUGUAACGUUGGAUCCUUACGGCGGGAUUCCCUUUAGUACCCGUGGAAGCAGGAAAUGUCAGCAGUAAAGAGACUAACAUGACAAGUGAAGCUGGCUGACACGCCUCCAUGGAAAAGAACUUCUUUACAGCUCUGUGCUUCCUCUGUCCUCAGUUCUACACCGUAAACAGCUCCGUUAACUCUUCCUCAGUCAGUCAUCGUCUUCACGCAGAACAAUGUUGUGAAAACCGCCAACUGGGUCCCACCAGCCGGUCACCAGUCAGAGCCACUUAGGCUGAAAAUCAGCAGAAGCACACAUUUCCUCACUGGCGCAUCAUUAGGAAUGACCCAAAAACAAGAUUUGAGAACAUUGUUGCGAUGAAUUGAAAAGUUUUUUCAGUAAAUCACACAUGCAACUGAUUGGUUAUUUCUGUUCUUAAUGAUUUCCCUCUCACAGCUAAAGGAAGCAUGACAGUUCAAACAAUACAUCAAUAAUAAUUCUCUUAUUGUAAAAUGUGGCACUCGUGUGUUUCAUUUUAUUUGUCUGACUAGUAAGGACUCUGUGACAUGUCCACAGUUAUUUUCAAGUUGUUAGACCCAAACGGAGGAGUGAAACACAAUGAGGGGAACCCAGCGGUCCCUUCCUGGGGUCUUUGUGGAUGAAAUGCUGGAGCCUUUGACCCUGCAGGGCUCCUGCUCAGCCACAGGGACAGAUUGUUGUUGGUCUGACGGGGAACUUCAUAAUUCACCGUUUCUAUCCACAAACCCAACGAGUCCCCCCCCAAUAAGACUUCAUCCACUCACUGACCUGUCUCAGCACAAAUGAAAACUGCCUAACCUUCUUCCAAGUCCUCCUCAGUCUGGCCCUUUUCCUCCGUGUUUGGUAACAAUGACACAGAACAAAUGUUAAAUGAAAUCUUUGCACAUUUUUACUCCCACACACUGUAAAGUCUCCAUGGAGGCCAUCCACCAGCCUUGUUAGAGAGCUUUCUGCAGCUUCUCUGUGGUUCUCAUGCCGCCUGCUUGGUUGCUGCUGUUCAGGGUUGAUCCGCCGCUGCUCUGUUUUCUGUCUGCGUUCUGUUGCUGGUUCCACACCAGCCGUCCUCACUCUUCACUUUGUUUUUUCUCACAGCUUCUCACCGACGUUAAAACUUUCCAUUUCUUCCUCUCUGUUGUAGUUUUUCUUUUUUUGUGGUGCCUCUCACCGUCGUUCACCCGUUCCGUCACUUUCUCUUUUCACAUUCACUGAAAUUGAUCAAAACUGAUUUCUGUUGUGCACAAUCCACAAUCUUUUUUUUUUUUUCUUUGUCCCCUUCUCCACCCUGACUCCCCCACGCCUCCCUGUCCGAUCUUCUCAUGGUGCCUCAGAGUCUCAACCGAGUUUGAGAGAAACGGGAGACUUGAGGGCUCAAGUCGCCAUGUACCUGGGGAUCAGAAAGGGGAAAUUAAAGACAGUAAACCCCGCUCCCUCAGAUUCACCUGGAGUAUGAGAACCACCAGCUCCAUGGAGCCCUGCGACAUCAUGAGGGAGAUCCGCAAGGUGCUCGACGUCAACAACUGCGACUACGAACAGCAAGAGAGUUUCCUGCUUCUUUGCGUCUACGGAGACGGGCGGGCCGAAAACCUGGUCCAGUGGGAGAUGGAGGUCUGCAAGCUGCCCCGCCUUUCCCUCAACGGCGUCCGCUUCAAAAGGAUAUCUGGGUCAUCGAUCGCUUUCAAAAACAUUGCUUCCAAAAUAUCCAACGAGUUAAAACUAUGAACAAAAGGACUAAAGUAUUCAUUAAAAAUCUAUAUUGAGAGGUAUUUAAGCUGUACAAUCAUCCAAGUAGCAGUUUCCAAAUGUCUCCUUUUUUAAAUAAGACCGUCUGUAUUAAAUAUUAUAAUGUAUAGAUAAAGGCUUUUGGCAAUAAUUACCGAAUUAUCUACUAAUAUCUGUCUGUUCUGACCGCAGGGGGUCACCAUUAACAAGUUGAAUAUGAUUUGUCAUGCUGUGAAUGUGGACAAAAAGUUUAAAAAAAAAAGUAUUUCUGGUCUUAUUUAUUUCACCUUUUUUUUCUCUCUCUCGGUAAAAAGAAAAAGACGUAGCUCGGGGUUUUUUUUUUUGUGUAAAUAAUGUAUCUUGCUUUCAAGAUGUCUUCACUGCUACACUUUUUUUUUUUCUUUUGUAUUUUGUUAAAGAUUCGAGAGAAUGGGAAGUCCAUGUUAAUGCCCACAUGGUUAAGGUUCACUCAUGUCUCCAUUAAAGCGUCUGUUACCCUAAA